GUAGUCCACGCCGUAAACGAUGUCGAUUUGGAGGUUGUGCCCUUGAGGCGUGGCUUCCGGAGCUAACGCGUUAAAUCGACCGCCUGGGGAGUACGGCCGCAAGGUUAAAACUCAAAUGAAUUGACGGGGGCCCGCACAAGCGGUGGAGCAUGUGGUUUAAUUCGAUGCAACGCGAAGAACCUUACCUGGUCUUGACAUCCACAGAACUUAGCAGAGAUGCUUUGGUGCCUUCGGGAACUGUGAGACAGGUGCUGCAUGGCUGUCGUCAGCUCGUGUUGUGAAAUGUUGGGUUAAGUCCCGCAACGAGCGCAACCCUUAUCCUUUGUUGCCAGCGGUUCGGCCGGGAACUC
rnacentral:rRNA from 1 species